rnacentral:lncRNA from 1 species
UGGCUUUGUAGAUCUUAUAUGCAGGUGAAGUAUCCAAACUUAAAGAUAAUAAUAAUUACAAAGUGCUACACAUAUACAUUAAAUGCCACGGAUAGCACGUAAAGUUUUAAAUUUCAGAUCUCAAAGUAAGAAAAGAAGAGAAGAUAAACUCAUUAAUAUUCAUGGUUGUUCCAUUAAUUAAAGAGAAUCAAGUUCCUUCUUACAAUACAUACAGGUAGUGCCGGUGACCAGUUUGAUCAGGUGAUCGUAUUGGUGGUGGUGGUGGUGGUAUCCGAAGAGAGACGCCGAGAGCCCGAGACAGAGAGGGCACAGCUCAGCGACACACAAACAAGACAGAGACAGAAAGAAAGAUAGUUGAAGAAAAAAAAAACUAGGAAAUUAAGAAAAAUUUACCGCUUUCUCUCUGUCCGUCUGUCUUCUCAAUUCCUUUUUUUUUUUUUUUAAGAAAAACAAAAGUUGUACUACGUACUGAUUAUAUUAAUUAAUAAUUAACAAAACUAAGUUCUGUUUAAUAUCUGAUUAACGGUAAUGCGACAAAAUUGUUCCAUUCACAGGUAAUUCCGUGUGACUUUUUUUUGAGUGUAUUAAAUUAUUUAAUAUUUAAAGAUUAUAUUAGAUCUUGAUUAAUUUAAAUUCGAGUUGGAAUGGAUUAUUUGAGACAGUAAAACUCUCCCAAUAAAUAUUUAACACAAUUAUAUUUUUAAAUUUUAAACUAAAAAUUUUAAUUAAGAUAGAACAAUCUCAUAUCAAUUGAAUUACACAUUUAUUGUUCCCGAUGAUAAUUUUUUUUUAAUAAAUAAGUGAUUUAUUUAUUUAUUUAUUUUUCUUUUAACAAAAGAGUGAAUUGAUUGAUUUGAUAUACCUUCUCCUGCUAUAUUUAAAAAAAAAAAUAGGAUUCUUUUGAAUCCAUUAUAAUAUUCUUCACAUCUCUUUAUUAAGGGAUUGUAUCCAUUAGUAAAUUCUGAAAGUUAAAUUUUUUACUUAUUAUAGUCACUCAAAAUGCCAAAAAUACCCUUAAGAAAAUUCCUCUAGCUUAACCCACCGUCACUCGUAUUGUUCGUCCCCAUUUUUUUAUUUUGAUGUCCCCAAACCCGGCCAUUGGAAGACCAUUUAUUAGCAAAAACAGUAAUUUUGACAUCAAUCUUUUCCACUGUUAGUGUCAGGACCAUCAGAAGUGAACCACAAAACAAUUAUCAGUACCUAAAAUUAGUAAUGAAGGCAAAUGUGAAAGGCACGUUUAGUAAUGUUUUAAACUGGUAACAACAUCAUAGCAUGAUAUAUGAACAAUAUUGACUUUGUUGAUAAGAGUGAAUUAAUGAAGCAUAGUAGUUAAAGAGCAAGAAACCUGGGAGGGCGAAUAACAAAAUUGAUGAACUGGUCAAUCAUCUUGUCUUUGCCUCCAAAUAGCCCUCAGAGUCAGACUUCCUCCGUUCCAUCAAAUAACCUCAGUUUCUCUUCUCCGCCAUUUUUUUUAUUUUUAUUUUUUGAAAGAACAAUUUAAUUUAAAUAAAUAAAAGAAAGAAGAAGUCGUCCGAACCAAUAAUAGCUUUGUUGAGUAGUUAUAAUAACAAUUACACGAAAAGUGUCAUCUCAUAGUUUGUUUUUCUAAUUUUCAGUUUUAGGAAAAUUUUCAAAUUUAAAGGUGAGGAAAAGAGGAAGAAGAUAACUGAGUUGGAGCUGAAUGUUGGCGCAAAAUGUACCAAGGCGAGACUCCCCUACAACAAGAGCCAAAAAUCUAAUCAACUUAGAAUGGCUUUGUAGAUCUUAUAUGCAGGUGAAGUAUCCAAACUUAAAGAUAAUAAUAAUUACAAAGUGCUACACAUAUACAUUAAAUGCCACGGAUAGCACGUAAAGUUUUAAAUUUCAGAUCUCAAAGUAAGAAAAGAAGAGAAGAUAAACUCAUUAAUAUUCAUGGUUGUUCCAUUAAUUAAAGAGAAUCAAGUUCCUUCUUACAAUACAUACAGGUAGUGCCGGUGACCAGUUUGAUCAGGUGAUCGUAUUGGUGGUGGUGGUGGUGGUAUCCGAAGAGAGACGCCGAGAGCCCGAGACAGAGAGGGCACAGCUCAGCGACACACAAACAAGACAGAG